CUGCCACCCAAAACAGCGAAGGGAAGCUUUAAACCCCUCUACACCGGUCUAAAAAAGGAGGUCGAAGAGCAAGGGCAAGGGGUGACGUGGGCCGCUGCUCGUUUUGGUUUUAGGGGGUGCUUAGGGACCAAACGUCCGCUCGAACCGGCCGCUCUCUCGCCGCUGCUCAGUUAACUACCUCUUUCCGCCGCGGGUGCUUCCUAGGGCGGCCGUCAAGCUGCCCACUCCCGCCGCGCGCACACGGCCUCUUCAUCCUCUUCCUUCUUCGCUGCCCCUUCCUCUUCUUCCUUCGCUGCUUCGCCAAGAUGCGCUCCGCCGCCUGCUGGCCUCUGCCGCUCUAGGACGACUAAACUCGGGGUUCCGUUUAGUUUCCACUCUUUGAUUCCUCCCUUCCGUAGAAAAAAGGCAUAGGACCUGACCGUUAAAAUUCUACCUCCUGAUGGGUUUAGUUGUGCUGCCACUCUUCGUUCCACGUUCUGUCAUCCGUUCUAUGUUAAGUUCUUGGUUGUUGAAUUAUAUCGUAGGUCAAGAUGCCCUCCGUUCUUGUCCCCUGGUCUUAAGCACGUUCUAAGUUCAGUCCGAAAACGUUGUUAAGACAUGUCCUCCGUUUAAACGUU
rnacentral:rRNA from 1 species